GACGAACGCUGGCGGCGUGCUUAACACAUGCAAGUCGAGCGGAGCGGCGAACGGGUGAGUAACGCGUGAGUAACUGCCCCCCUCUUAGCGAUAACAGCUGGAAACGGCUGCUAAUACCGGCUAGUGGGGGAUGACUCGCGUCAUAUCAGCUGGUUGGUGUGGUAGUGGUCUACCAAGGCGUCGACGGGUAGCCGGCCUGAGAGGGCGACCGGCCACAUUGGGCUGAGAGAGGGCCCAGACUCGUACGGGAGGCAGCAGUGGGGAAUAUGGCACAAUGGGGGAAACCCAGAUGCAGAAACGCCGCGUGCGGGAUGACGGCCUUCGAGUUGUAAACCGCUUUCAGCCAUGACGCGGUAGUGACAUAGGAAGCACCGGCUAACUACGUGCCAGCAGCCGCGGUAAUUC
rnacentral:rRNA from 1 species